rnacentral:rRNA from 1 species
CACGUAGUUAGCCGGAGCUUAUUCCUCAGGUACCGUCAAAUUCCUCUUUCUUCCCUGAUAAAAGAACUUUACAUUACGAAUAACUUCUUCGUUCACGCGGCGUUGCUCGGUCAGGGUUCCCCCCAUUGCCGAAAAUUCCCUACUGCUGCCUCCCGUAGGAGUAUGGACCGUUCUCAGUUCCAUUGUGGCCGUUCAACCUCUCAGUCCGGCUACGCAUCAUCGCCUUGGUAGGCCCUUACCCCACCAACUAGCUAAUGCGCCACAGGCCCCUCCUUAAGCAGAUCUCUCUUUUAAAUAUAAAAGAUUCUUCCUCUAUAUCCUAUCCAGUUUUAUCCAUCGUUUCCAAUGGCUAUCCUCGUCUUAAGGGUAGGUUACCUAUGUAUUACUCACCCGUUCGCCACUAAAGUACCCGAAGGUACUUCCGUUCGACUUGCAUGUAUUAGGCACGCCGCCAGCGUUAAUCCUGAGCCAGGAUCAAACUCU